rnacentral:rRNA from 1 species
GGAUUAGAUACCCUGGUAGUCCACGCCGUAAACGAUGUCUACUAGCUGUUGGCCUUAUUAAAAAGGUUAGUGGCGCAGCUAACGCACUAAGUAGACCGCCUGGGGAGUACGGCCGCAAGGUUAAAACUCAAAUGAAUUGACGGGGGCCCGCACAAGCGGUGGAGCAUGUGGUUUAAUUCGAUGCAACGCGAAGAACCUUACCAGGCCUUGACAUACAGAGAAGUUACCAGAGAUGGUUUCGUGCCUUCGGGAACUCUGAUACAGGUGCUGCAUGGCUGUCGUCAGCUCGUGCUG